CUCUCUCUCUCUCUCUCUCCUCUAAUCUCCAAAGGCUAAUGGGAAAUAUUUACUGACCACUCUCUCUAGGCCAAAAACUGGGCUCAGCCAGUCCUCAUAAUGCCCUAUGAGGGCAGCAGGUCCUAUUGUGACCUUCAUUUUCAUCUGGCAAAAGAGGUUCUUCAGGGUGUGACACUGGCCCCAGGUCAUAAAACCACACUCAGAAGCCACCCCUCUCAGCAGAGGGAGAAACCUUCCAGCAUUAACUUAUGGUAUACUCAGUGGUCCCAAACUAAGUUUGCUACACCCAUGGAUUCAACCAAGGAUGGAUGAAGACUAUUCAAGGAAAAGAUUCUGUCUGUUCUGAAUCUACACAGACAUUUUUGUGGUUGUUACCUAAAAUUUGCAUAACAAGGGUUGACAUUGUAUUGGGUAUUAUAAGUGAUCUGAAGACCAUAGGGCAUGGGUAUAGGUUAUGUGUGGAUAGACUUUCACAGAAAGAAAGGCCUUUCACAGAAGAAGGGAGGGUCUGGAGCAUCAGCUGGAUCCUGGCAUCAAGGCUGUUGGUAUCCAAGGGACUCUGGAGCAUUUCCUGUGGAUCUACCUGUACAUCCAGAAAGAAUUUUCAUCUCUGUCUCUCACAGACAUGCCAUCUUUCUCUUCCAAAGAUCUCUUAAGGCUCCAUUCUCUCCAACCCACCUGCUGUCCUUUCCCUGGGAGGCCUGAGAGUUUAAGUUGCCACACACUCUCAUGUGCUUUAGAGGCUCAGUGAGAGCUCUGACCCAGUCUCCUCCUCCCCUGCUAGAACACACCCCUGUUCUUAUAGGCUAGUAUCAUCAUGUCUCGCUAGCCCUGCAAAGAUGCUCACCCCUCAGCCCAGCACCAGAACCAUCAGCUCAGACUCUGCCAAGGUCAGCCGAGCUCUCACAGGCCUGUGGGCGGGGUCUCGUGGGCUGAGCUCUAAUCAAGUGUGCCAUUUUUUGUCUACUUUGUUUCUUUUCUCCUUCCCUUUCUCCUCUCCUCCCUUCUUGUCUUUGUCUACUACCCCAGGCAGAGACAGUAUCUUUUACUCAUCAGCCCACCCAGCUUUCCCAAUCUUGUCACAUCUGGCAGCUGAAACUAUCUUUUUUUGGGGGUGGUGGUGGUGUUGGGGUGUCCUAUGCAUAGUGGGAUGCAUCUCAACAACCCUGCUUCUGUAUACUGCCAAAUAUUCCCUGGGUGAGGGGCACAAAAUCCCCCCACAAAGGAUUACUGGUAAAGACCCAUAUUAAUACACAGCACCUGGCCCAAGGCAGGCACUUAGGAAAUCUCCACCAGAGACUCUUGCAUCCUUCCAGCCCUUUAUCCCACCAACACCAGGUCCUUGCUUUUGAAAGGGACUGGACCUUCAAGAAGCCACAGCCUGCACAUCUGUGCCCAUGCUCAUUAUUAGUCUAGUUUGGGGUCUUAACUCCACCUAUGUGAGGUCAGUAACCAGCUACCCUCCCCACAGCCCAGCACCAGCCAUCCCUGGGGCUUCUGUUAAGUAAAUGCAGUAUCGACCACCUCUCUCUCCUCCUCUCCCUUACAGAGAUCCCUUGUGCAUCUCGGAUCCUGCCUCGACCUCCAGGCCAUCGACUGCAUAAAUUAUUGAUGUGUAGAAGAUGGCUGGUGGUGUGGUGUGGUCUGCUGUGCUCACAGAGAAAAGGCAUGCUACAAACAGAAGCGGUGAGGAAAUGAUGUUUGGGAAGAUGCUUCCAGAAUAUGGAUCUCUCAUCUGUGCACCCUUUGACUGGUGGAUCUCAGUCAGAGGCAAUUCUGGAUGUCGCGACUGGAGAGGGGACAAUGAACAUCUGUUGAAUAAAGACUAGGCCUACAAUGAGAAUAGCAGUCACCACCCAACAGAGUGACACAGCCCAGUAAGACCAUGGGACGGAGGCUGAGGAAGGCUGGUCUUAGACAUCAAAAUCAGAACCGGUGAGAGACACCAGGAAGCCCACCAGGUCUCGGUUGUGCGUGGACCUUGCCAUCCUCUCUUGCAAGAACUUGCUUUCUUUUAGCUGAGUCCAGCCACCCUUUCGGGUGAAGCUCCUCUCACUUGCUUCCCAAGCUCCAGGGUCUCGGCUGUAAAGUGUGACUCCGUUCCCUCAGCUCCUCUCACUUGCUUCCUGCUGCUUCUGACUGCUCCAGCCUGAAAUGAGCAGCACCAGGACACCCGCGCGUCUGAAACCGUGCAGUGUCCUUGCACGCAGAGUUUUCAUUUCCUUUCAGACACAGGAAAUGGGCCCUCUCAUGCUCUCCGUUUCCACGGCCACAGGUAGAGCCCUUUUCUCCUUCCAGGGCAGCUAUGGGUUUUGACGCAACAUCUGAUUCUUUGAUUUCUGGAACUAGCUCGAGACUUGCCUUUGGAGAGUUAUCUCAAGCCCUCGCUCCCAGCUGGUCUGAGUUAAGUGGGGAAGUUCUUAGCUGGUGGAGCUGUUGUAAUGGCCAAGCGGCCUUUACAAGGCAGGGCUUGAUGGGUGGAAGUAGGUCACCUUUUAGAUCUAGCUGCAGAGUCCUGGUCUAUGGCCAUGUGAAGAACUGAUGCCAUACAGUGCCACCGCCAUGCCAUCCCGCCACAAUGAAAUCUCAAAAACCAUGAACCAAAAUGUCCCUUUCAUCUUGUUUUGAUCAGUUAUUUCCUGUGUGAGGAAAUGUAGCUGUGAUGGGUGAUAUCAACUUGAUAAACUCUAACUCAUCUAGGAGACAAGUCCUGGAUAUGACCAUGAGGAAUUGAUUAUCUGGACUAGGUUAACUGAGCUGAGUGCACCCACACUGAAAGCAGGACACACUGUUGACUGGGCUGCUGAACACUACCGUUCCUCUUUCCCUGCCUCCUGACUGUGGAUUCAAUGUGACCGACUGCCUCAAGACCCUACAGCCUUGACUCCUCUGUCCUGAUCAGUUAUACCCUCUAACUGUGACCUGAGAUAAACCCUUUUCUCCUCUUAA